ACAGCAGCAGCCGCGGUAAUACGUAGGUGGCAAGCGUUGUCCGGAAUUAUUGGGCGUAAAGCGCGCGCAGGUGGUUUAAUAAGUCUGAUGUGAAAGCCCACGGCUCGACCGUGGAGGGUCAUUGGAAACUGUUAAACUUGAGUGCGGGAGAGAAAAGUGGAAUUCCUAGUGUAGCGGUGAAAUGCGUAGAGAUUAGGAGGAACACCAGUGGCGAAGGCGGCUUUUUGGCCUGUAACUGACACUGAGGCGCGAAAGCGUGGGGAGCAAACAGGAUUAGAUACCCCAGUAGUCCCUGUCUCUUAUAC
rnacentral:rRNA from 1 species